AUUGAACGCUGGCGGCAGGCCUAACACAUGCAAGUCGCACGAGUGGCGGACGGGUGAGUAAUGUCUGGGAAACUGCCCGAUGGAGGGGGAUAACUACUGGAAACGGUAGCUAAUACCGCAUACCAUCGGAUGUGCCCAGAUGGGAUUAGCUAGUAGGGGGGGUAACGGCUCACCUAGGCGACGAUCCCUAGCUGGUCUGAGAGGUUGACCAGCCACAUGGGAACUGAGACACGGUCCAGACUCCUACGGGAGGCAGCAGUGGGGAAUAUUGCACAAUGGGCGCAAGCCUGAUGCAGCCAUGCCGCGUGUAUGAAGAAGGCCUUCGGGUUGGAAAGUACGUUCAGCGAGGAGGCGUUACUCGCAGAAGAAGCACCGGCUAACUCCGUGCCAGCAGCCGCGGUAAGAC
rnacentral:rRNA from 1 species